rnacentral:rRNA from 1 species
UACGAAGGUCCCAAGCGUUGUUCGGAAUCACUGGGCGUAAAGGGAGCGUAGGCGGCGUGGUAAGUCAGAUGUGAAAUCCCGGGCUCAACCCCGGAACUGCAUCCGAUACUGCCAUGCUAGAGGAUUGGAGAGGUAGCUGGAAUUCUUGGUGUAGCAGUGAAAUGCGUAGAGAUCAAGAGGAACACUCGUGGCGAAAGCGAGCUACUGGACAAUUCCUGACGCUGAGGCUCGAAGGCUAGGGUAGCGAAAGGG